CUUGGUCAUUUAGAGGAAGUAAAAGUCGUAACAAGGUUUCCGUAGGUGAACCUGCGGAAGGAUCAUUAGUGAACGCCCUCACGGGCUUAUAACUAUUCCAAACCUCUGUGAACCGUGCCCUUCGGGGCUAUUUUACAAACAUGGUGUAAUGAACGUCAUAUAUCAUGACAAAACAAAACUUUCAACAACGGAUCUCUUGGCUCUCGCAUCGAUGAAGAACGCAGCGAAAUGCGAUAAGUAAUGUGAAUUGCAGAAUUCAGUGAAUCAUCGAAUCUUUGAACGCACCUUGCGCCCUCUGGUAUUCCGGAGGGCAUGCCUGUUUGAGUGUCAUGUAGACUCAAUCCCUCGGGUUUCCGAGGAGAUUGGACUUGGGUGUUGCCGCUCUGCCGGCUCGCCUUAAAAGACUUAGCGGGAUAGCACCGUAGUCGGCGUAAUAAGUUUCGUCGGUGAAGGUUGUGAUGACUGCUUACAAUCGCCCUCGGGCAAUUUUUGACUCUGACCUCAAAUCAGGUAGGACCACCCGCUGAACUUAAGCAUAUCAAUAAGCGGAGGA
rnacentral:rRNA from 1 species